AGGGGCGUAGCUCAAUUGGUAGAGUACCGGUCUCCAAAACCGGGUGUUGUCGGUUCGAGUCCGGCCGCCCCUGCCA
rnacentral:tRNA from 1 species